CCAUUGGUGGCUUUUGCUAAGCAGAUCUCCAGGCAGAAUCUUUAAAGUAUCAAUAGUUUAUUUUACCACCAUAAGAAGACAGGAUAGAAAACAGAUGAACUACAAAAGGAAUCGGUCAUAAAAGGUGAUGAGGUCUGUGCCUGGUUUCCUGGAACUGUCUUUGGGGCUCUGAACCAUCUGCACUGAGGCUGCGGUACGUGAAAUAGCCAGACCACAGGGAGAGGCCACGCACGAGCCCCCUGCCCAGCAGUCCUCGUCCCCAAGCCACCCCCAGCCCAGACACUGGAUGUCAUUUAACAGGAGGCUUCCUGUGAGCUGUUUGGAUCUGU